UACGUAGGGUGCGAGCGUUUGUCCGGAAUUAUUGGGCGUAAAGAGCUCGUAGGCGGUCUGUUGCGUCAGGAGUGAAAACUCGGGGCUUAACCCCGAGCCUGCUUCUGAUACGGGCAGACUAGAGGUAUGCAGGGGAGAACGGAAUUCCUGGUGUAGCGGUGAAAUGCGCAGAUAUCAGGAGGAACACCGGUGGCGAAGGCGGUUCUCUGGGCAUUACCUGACGCUGAGGAGCGAAAGUGUGGGGAGCGAACAGG
rnacentral:rRNA from 1 species